UACCGAAUUGUACGCACGAUGUAUUCAC
rnacentral:piRNA from 1 species